GUCAAAAUGACCGUUGUGUUUCUUUCGUUUUCUUUUCUAAUGACAGGAUGUAAUUGCUGCUGUACUGUGAAUCUCCAGCACACCUGCAUUCUUAUCAUGGGCGAUGGACAGUUCAAGAUUGCUGUCGUUCAAGAAGUUAAUGACCACUGUUGCAGUUGUAAGCUACAAAUACCCAGAAAAGUCGGCACUUGCAUUGGAAUUCAUACAGAAAGUUUUCCUGUGAAGAAAUCCUAAAUGAGGGUUGAGAUGAAGGCAACCAGGUGGGU